UCAGAACGUCGCGAGACAGUUCGGUCCCUAUCUGCCGUGGGUGUAGGAGAAUUGAGAGGAUCUGUCCCUAGUACGAGAGGACCGGGAUGGACGUACCUCUGGUGGACCUGUUGUGGCGCCAGCCGCAUUGCAGGGUAGCUAUGUACGGACGGGAUAACCGCUGAAAGCAUCUAAGCGGGAAGCCCCCCUCAAGAUUAGAUUUCUCAGGACUUUAAGUCCCUGUAGGGCCGUGGAAGACUACCACGUUGAUAGGCUGGGUGUGGAAGUGCAGUAAUGCAUGUAGCUAACCAGUACUAAUUGCCCGUGAGGCUUGA
rnacentral:rRNA from 13 species